UAACCACUCAAGCCUGGCUUGGUAUUGGAGUUUGCGGUUCUGCAGCUUCUAAAAUCAGUGGCGGUGCCGGUGGGCUCUACGCGUAGUAAUUCUUCUCGCUACAGAGUUCCCCUGGUUGCUUGCCAGAACCCCCAAUUUUUACA
rnacentral:misc_RNA from 1 species